CCAUUUUAUGAAACAUGAGAGAGUACAAGGCAAGAAAAAGUUUCAACAACCAUAUUUAGUACAAUAAUGUUGAUAGUCAAGGUUAAGUCGCACAUUAUAGCACAUAGUAUCUUAUGAGACAUUACAGGUUUAACCGCAAGGAUGACCUUGUGAGGGCUAAAUUUAGGGAUUAAACAGUUGUGCCUAACAUGAUAGAAAGAAAAAAAAACACACCCUUACACAACUGGGUAAUCCCUAAAUCCUGGGUUGGUAGGUUUGCCUUGAGAACUGGUUUGGAAACCACUGUCCUAGAAACAGAUCCACGCCAGGGUGCCCAUGUCUAAACACAGCGAGCAGCACGUCCGUGCAGGAAUGCAGCAAGUCUCUCCAUGUCGUACAGUUCUUUUACAGUUAUAGUAUCAAGGACUUGGCAGUAUUGAGGAAAUACUUUGUUAGUAAUUUCCUGCACGAAGAAAGGGGUAGUUUUGUGUGAUGAGCAUUAGUAAGGGAUCCAGAAGUAGGUCAGAAUCAAGGACAACAUGGAUUUCCUGAUGUAUGUGUUGACAAUAUUGGGAUAUGCUUGGGCAGCUCCACCAUAUGUGGGUAUCCGUACCUAUGUCUUGUCCUCAUCUCCAACACAGUUCGGAGGCUCCUUUGUAGAUCUGGUGUAACUUUACUGGAGUUGGGAACCAGCCCAUGAAUAGUUUAUAGUUCAGCUCUUGACGUUUGGAGAUCAUUGCAGAUUGAAAGCUCAAGACAUGAAUCUUCUCCCAUUGUUGGUCUGCCAAAACUGCUUCUACAUCCCAUUCCCAUUUGGCUGUGUAUUUGGCCAGGGCCCUUGGCAGUGCAGUUAAGAAUACAGAGUAAGGGACCGAAAUCCCUCUACUGAGAUGUGUCUGGUUAGCACAAAGUGUCUCAAAGGCCGUCAAGUCGAUGUGGAUUAGUUGCUUUCCCGUCAGCGCUAGCGAGCAUUACCUCAUUUGGAAAUAACAGAGCCUAUCCAGUUUAGAUGGCGCUUUAUCAGGAAUCAGAUACAGUAGUACUUGUAAGGUGAUAGCAUUGCACCAUUGUUGGAGAUAUGGGAAUAUACAAACAAAGGGAACAGCACUAAAAUACACCAAUACUAUAAAUAGGGAAAGUAGGAGGCAGCAAACCUAAAAAUAGGGUUCCCUCUAAGCCCUAUAAACAAAGAUGAUACACAAGACAAGACAAAUGAAGGUUGCGCCAAAGCUGACUAUAGUACAACUAAUAUGAACAAAGUUCAAAAUAUAGUGAUACCAAAACAAAAUCUUUAACCCCUUAAGGACCAAACUUCUGGAAUAAAAGAGAAUCAUGACAUGUCACGUGUCCUUAAGGGAUUAAUGGAGACUGAUGGGACAGCAACAGCCUAUGUAGAGGAAUAUUUGAUUAGCUGUAUCUAUUUCCCGGCCGACUGCAUUUAACC